AGAGUUUGAUCAGUGGCUCAGAACGAACGCUGGCGGCAGGCUUAACACAUGCAAGUCGAGCGCCUCGCAAGAGGAGCGGCAGACGGGUGAGUAACGCGUGGGAAUCUACCCAUCUCUACGGAACAACUCCGGGAAACUGGAGCUAAUACCGUAUACGUCCUUCGGGAGAAAGAUUUAUCGGAGAUGGAUGAGCCCGCGUUGGAUUAGCUAGUUGGUGGGGUAAUGGCCUACCAAGGCGACGAUCCAUAGCUGGUCUGAGAGGAUGAUCAGCCACACUGGGACUGAGACACGGCCCAGACUCCUACGGGAGGCAGCAGUGGGAAUAUUGGACAAUGGGCGAAAGCCUGAUCCAGCCAUGCCGCGUGAGUGAUGAAGGCCCUAGGGUUGUAAAGCUCUUUCAACGGUGAAGAUAAUGACGGUAACCGUAGAAGAAGCCCCGGCUAACUUCGUG
rnacentral:rRNA from 1 species